GGAAAGAUGCAAGAUUUGAACGCACAUUGUCAAGAUUUGAACGCACAUCAUCAAGAUUUUGAACGCACAUAUACGUGAGGGAAAGAUGCAAAGGUUUUGGACGCUCAUCAAGAUUUUGAACGCACAUACGUGAGGGAAAGAUGCAAAGGUUUUGAACGCUCAUCAAGAUUUUGAACGCACACGUGAGGGAAAGAUGCAAAGAUUUUGAACGCUCAUCAAGAUUUUGAACGCACACGUGAGGGAAAGAUGCAAAGGUUUUGAACGCUCAUCAAGAUUUUGAACGCACAUAUACGUGAGGGAAAGAUGCAAAGAGCGUUAAACUGAUACGUGAGGGAAAGAUGCAAAGAUUUUGAACGCCCAUCAAGAUUUUGAACGCACAUAUACGUGAGGGAAAGAUGCAAAGGUUUUGAACGCUCAUCAAGAUUUUGAACGCACAUAUACGUGAGGGAAAGAUGCAAAGG
rnacentral:misc_RNA from 1 species